rnacentral:rRNA from 1 species
AUGUUCCCUACAAUUGUCAAAGUGCUAGAAUAUGUGGAAGAAAAAGACAGCAAUGAUACAAAUAGAAGGCAAGCAUGUGGUCUUCUUGUUUAUUUCCAGUCUUUUGAUUUUGUGUUCUACAUACAGCUUAUGUCCACUAUAUUGAUAAUCACAAACACAUUAUUAUUGGCUCUACAACGGAAGAAUCAAGACAUUGUGAAUGCCAUUAAUUGUGUGAAUUCAACAAAAGCCUCUUUGAAUGAUCUAAGGAGAGAUGGAUGGGAUUCUGUCCUACAUGAAGCAUAUGUCUUUUGUGACAAGCAUGACAUUUCCAAGUUGGAAAUGGAAGACCAAUAUGUGAAUCCAAAGAAGCCACGGCAAAAAAUAGGUAUCACUAAUAGACAUCAUUAUGAAGUGGAUUGUUUAAAUGAUGUCAUUGAUUGGCUUCUACAAGAACUUGAUAAUCGCUUCAAUGAGAAAAAUUCUGAACUACUUGUCUGCUCAGCGGCUUUGAGUCCAAUUGAAUCAUUUCGUGAUUUCAAUUUAGAGCAUUUGAUGAGUCUAGCCAAACUUUAUCCAAAAGAUUUUGAUGAUGGAGAACUCAGGGACCUUAGACAUCACCUUCAUCUUUACAUUGCUGAUGUCCGAGCUGAUGAUCGCUUCUCUGGUUUAAGUAAUAUUUGUGAGCUCUCUCAAAAAAUGGUGGAGACAAAGAAACAUAUUUUAUAUCCCUUGGUUUAUCGACUUUUGAAGCUAGCACUAGUAUUGCCUGUUGCCACUGCUACAGUUGAGAGAUCUUUUUCAGCUAUGAGAAUUGUGAAGACAUAUUUGCGCAAUCGUCUUAGCGACGACGCCUUGAAGUACAACCUUAUUUGUUAUGUGGAGAAAAGCGAAAUGAGGAAGGUUACAAAUGAUGCAGUAAUUGAUCGCUUUGAGGCCAUGAAAGAAUGCAGGAAACCAUUUUAG